UGUAUGUCCCGAUUUAACCAGGGACCGCACGAUACACGUCACCUGUUUAACUGCUCGGCCUGACCCACUCGACUCAGACCCAGAUCCCUGUGGACGCACCCCUUCUUAGUCGCGGAGUUCCUGGGUCUUGACACUCAACAGAAUCAAGCAGACGAAAGAUAGAACACAAUAAACUGCUACAACAACAACAACAACAUAAAAACACAAACAAAAUAUGAAAUCUACCACAUUGUUAAUCUUUCGCUAGGACUUCUAGAGGUACAACAAAUAACACGACACGCAGUUUAGACAUCUCACAAAAUUCUUUCAGGACUUUCUGAAAAAAUUCUUAAAAAAUGCAGUCCAGAAAUCGUUCAGCAAUCGCUCCGCACUAUCGGAGUAAAACUUCCCUCAGAAAACCGAUCAGAAUUAAAAACGAACUCGAUAAGUUCUUGUCAGAAACUUCAAAAUUUGUUCAAACGUAUGUGACAUCCGACAUUUGGUUACCUGGACAUUGAUAGACGUUCAUUCGUGGCAUCGCUGAAAACAUUUGGUUGAGAAUUUCUCAAUCCCUUUUGUAGGGUGGCUUGUCGCUGAGUUUUGUUUUUACUAUGCGAUACAAUUCAUUUCAAUUCUUUUAUUUUUUUUUUUCUUCCUUUAUUCAAGAAAAGAACAAAAUUUAUUUCGCCCUGUCCAGGAUUCGAAUCUGGCGUCCCGGAGUGCUAGUCGGCGUAUCUUACCACUAGGCUGUUCCAAUAGUGUGGGUGGGUCUGUCAGGUUUUGCUGAAUAAGCGCAUUAUUUCCAGUGGAUUUUGUUUUAUAAAUAGAGGCUUGGUUCAGUGAAUUUGUCUAUUUCAAUUAAAUUUCUGAAAUCAAAUUAAGGGCAAAACAUUUUUAUAUCGACUGUGCUUAUUGGAGCCUGGCACUUUUGUUUACUGGUGGCUCAUCCUAAACAUUUUUGGAGUUUUUAAAAUUUUACUGGUUUAUGCCGAAUUAUUCCCCUGGCUGGACUUUCUUUGCUUGUGAUUGAUAGAGGGACACCCCAAAGCCGAUUUUUUUCUUGGGAAAGGAAACCCCUCAUCGCGAAACCCGCAUUACUUAUUGAUGACCUUUUUUUCUGAGUUGGAAGAUACUGGCCGAAGUCAUGCCUUUGGGGACCUCAUCCAAAAAAAAAUGUUAAUGGUUAAAAUGGCCCUGCGUCUUGUUACCAGGCCAGAAAGUGUUUAAGAAAAGUGUCAUUGUUGUUGUUAAUGACUCACGAAGUCAAGACUUAAUUUUUAAGGGAAGUAAAAAAAUUCGGCUAGCAGCCAAUUUGAAAAUUUGCCCGUGUUUUUAAAAGAAAUCCAAAGUCCUUGAAGAAAGGAAAAUUUAUUGCAAGAAAAGAAACAACAACACUCAAAAAGUUAAGACAAAGACAGUGAAGAGAAAUUUGAACUAUAAGAAAACAUAAAGAAGAAGUUUUUAUCCUAAAAAGGGAUUAUUUGAAUAUUAAGGAGAAAAAACAGUAAAAACUAAAAAGAAAAUGUUUUUUUAAGUGUUAUGCAAUUCUAAAGAAGAAAACUAAAGAACAUUGACCAAACUAUUGUACAAAUAAAAAAAACUAAAUUUGAGAAAAAGGAAAAGUCAGUGGUUAUAAAGACAGUAAAGCAAAAUAUACACUGAGUGUUUCGGUUGGUGUUUUCUUCAAUUUCCUGCUUAUUGCUCAAACCUUCGAUCCGCUGUGUUGGAAAAUAUCCCGGAACCGGAACGAAAGAUCUUUCAUGGGGGGACAUUUUUCAAAGUGAGUAUUAAUCACCCUUUUUGAUUAAACUUUAAUAACCACCGAAGUUCAGGACGCCGCCGUAGCACAGAGGUUAGCAUGUCCGCCUAUGACGCUAAACGGCUGGGUUCGAAUCCUGGCGAGACCAUCAGAAAAAAUUUUCAGUGGUGGUUUUGCCAUCCUAAUGCUGGCAACAUUUGUGAGGCACUAUGCCAUGUAAAACUUCUCUCCAAAGAGGUGUCGCACUGCGGCACGCUGUUCGGACUCGGCUAUAAAAAGGAGGUCCCUUAUAAUUGAGCUUAAACUUGAAUCGGACUGCACUCAUUGAUAUGUGAUACAAUUAUCAUUUAAAGUAAACAAAUCCCCAAUUAGCAGCUGUUCAUUUAAGUGGCUAGUUGGCUUAGCGGUUUGAGUCGCCGACUCCGAUGUAAAAAGUCGAGGGAUCAGUCCCGGGUUCGGUCGUUUAAUUUUUGUUUUGUUUUUUUUGCCUAAUUAAUCAGAUGAAUUAAUCAACUUUUUUAUGAUCAGUAAGGUACUAUAAGGGAGGAAGGAAAAACACUAGGUAAAUUUAAUGUACAAAAAAAUAAUACAUAUUUGAUUCAAGCUACCAACAUGCAUACAUUCAAUGCUCAUAAGGAAGUAAUCCACCACGUCACAGUGGGCCACAUGUUCAAAUCCCCGAACCAUGAAAUUUUAAGUGGAUUUUGUCAAACACUUUUUUUAUAUUUAAUUUUUUUAAACGCUGCAUGCAUUUAACCCCAUGCUAUCCGAAUGGGAUAUAUCUCUUUCAGCUUAUUUUUUUGUGUACUUUGAAAUUGCAUAUACAUCGGUUGGGUGUUACAUUUUUUUGUUGAGGCAAUUCGUUUAGUAUAUUUUUCCCUUUUUUAUUGAAGUAAAACUAUUUCUAAUGAGAGUAUUAUUGCCUUAAUUGUUAUUUAGACUAUUUUUUGUCUAGACUUUAAUGGAAAUUGUAGAAUUAAUAAAUUUAUUUUAGAAUUUGUUUUAAUAAAUUUAUUAACUUUGGUUAAGAUCAUAUGAAAGUGAGCUUAUAGUUUUUCUAGGCUUAUUAUGAUUUAUUUUGGAUUUUGUUUAAUAAACAACAUAAUGAAUUUUAGCUAAAUUUCCGUUUUGUGCUUCCGGGGCAACAAAUAUUUGAAGGGUAGGUACAGUGGGACCAACGGAUAAUAAUGAGAUAAUUGUGAGUUAUAAUCCUGGUCAUGGUUAGACGGGCGCAUUACGAUGCGAACAUCUCUGCAUCGGGUGUAGGCAAAACCAGUCCUCUCGAGAAUUCCCUUAAUCUUCCACUCUCUAUUUUUCUUUUCUCACCCCUAUCUAUUGCACGCACAUUAUAUUUUGGCGCCCAACGUGGGGCCCACACACGCAUUAUUCAUUAUUCUUUUCAUCUUUGGGGUUUAUUUGUCACGUACCCCCAUAGGAGGUCGCUCCACCUUUUCUCUGGAGUGGCAAUUGAUGCUGGCGGUUGAGCUCCGGCUGUGGCUCAGUGGAAGGGGCGCGGUUCUUUGCCAACACCUAUUGCCAAAAAGGAGGGACAAAAAAAACUAAAAUCAACCAGCUUGUGGAUGGACAAAUACAGCGGGUUCCUGGUUCUAAUAGCGACUGUUCCGGAUAAAUGCCAAUGGAGUCCCCGGGUAUUGUGGACCUGGUGGCAGCCUCUGCGGCCAAUAGAGUCCCUUUUAGGUUCUCGUUUGUCCGUCCGUCCGUCUAGUCUUUGGGGUUUUCUGAUGUGCUGCUUUCUCAGCACCGUAAGGUCAACAUUGGCUGAUGGGCAAGGAAAUAUCCUCUACUAUCCACUACCUAACCUAACUAUGAGCUCAUGCUUAGGUUACUCUAUAGAACCCAACCAAAGGAAAAAACUUUUUUAACAAAAUAAAUCCGUCGAGAGUCAACCGUCUGUAUGCCUGUUCUGUUUAUAGUCGGAGAAACUUUUUGGACUACCUUAUGGACACUGGGGUAUGCGACAGCGUCUAGGUCCCUCGGUGGAGUAGCGACAGGAGUUGUGGAUAUGCCAAUUGCAGCAGCUAAAGUCUUUUAUACGUGUGGCAGUGGAGGUGGAGGAGUCUUGACUUUCGCUUUUAUUUUUAGACUUAAGUUUUUAGCUUUAAAUUUUACAUUAUAUGAUUUGAUUUCUUUUCAGUGUUUUCUU